GGCGCCAUAGCCAAGUGGUAAGGCAAGGGUCUGCAAAACCCUCAUUCCCCGGUUCGAAUCCGGGUGGCGCCUCAAAGA
rnacentral:tRNA from 1 species